UGGCGAACGGGUGAGUAACACGUGGGCAAUCUGCCCUGCACUCUGGGACAAGCCCUGGAAACGGGGUCUAAUACCGGAUAUUGACCUUCACGGGCAUCUGUGAGGUUCGAAAGCUCCGGCGGUGCAGGAUGAGCCCGCGGCCUAUCAGCUUGUUGGUGAGGUAAUGGCUCACCAAGGCGACGACGGGUAGCCGGCCUGAGAGGGCGACCGGCCACACUGGGACUGAGACACGGCCCAGACUCCUACGGGAGGCAGCAGUGGGGAAUAUUGCACAAUGGGCGAAAGCCUGAUGCAGCGACGCCGCGUGAGGGAUGACGGCCUUCGGGUUGUAAACCUCUUUCAGCAGGGAAGAAGCGAAAGUGACGGUACCUGCAGAAGAAGCGCCGGCUAACUACGUGCCAGCAGCCGCGGUAAUACGUAGGGCGCAAGCGUUGUCCGGAAUUAUUGGGCGUAAAGAGCUCGUAGGCGGCUUGUCACGUCGGUUGUGAAAGCCCGGGGCUUAACCCCGGGUCUGCAGUCGAUACGGGCAGGCUAGAGUUCGGUAGGGGAGAUCGGAAUUCC
rnacentral:rRNA from 1 species